rnacentral:rRNA from 1 species
AGUGAACGCUGGCGGUAGGCCUAACACAUGCAAGUCGAACGGCAGCACAGUAAGAGCUUGCUCUUACGGGUGGCGAGUGGCGGACGGGUGAGGAGUACAUCGGAAUCUACUUUUUCGUGGGGGAUAACGUAGGGAAACUUACGCUAAUACCGCAUACGACCUACGGGUGAAAGCAGGGGAUCUUCGGACCUUGCGCGAUUGAAUGAGCCGAUGUCGGAUUAGCUAGUUGGCGGGGUAAAGGCCCACCAAGGCGACGAUCCGUAGCUGGUCUGAGAGGAUGAUCAGCCACCCUGGAACUGAGACACGGUCCAGACUCCUACGGGAGGCAGCAGUGGGGAAUAUUGGACAAUGGGCGCAAGCCUGAUCCAGCCAUACCGCGUGGGUGGAGAAGGCCUUCGGGUUGUAAAGCCCUUUUGUUGGGAAAGAAAAGCAGCAGGUUAAUACCCCGCUGUUCUGACGGUACCCAAAGAAUAAGCACCGGCUAACUUCGUG